rnacentral:rRNA from 1 species
AUACGGAGGGUGCGAGCGUUAAUCGGAAUUACUGGGCGUAAAGCGUACGUAGGCGGUUGGUUAAGUUAGAUGUGAAAGCCCCGGGCUUAACCUGGGAACUGCAUUUAAAACUGGCGAACUAGAGUUGAGUAGAGGGGAGUGGAAUUUCAGGUGUAGCGGUGAAAUGCGUAGAGAUCUGAAGGAACACCAGUGGCGAAGGCGACUCCCUGGACUCGAACUGACGCUGAGGUACGAAAGCGUGGGUAGCAAACGGGAUUAGAUACCCUAGUAGUCC